GGGAAAGCUAAAGAUUAAGUGUUUGUUGUGUUUCCAAAGGUUAACUUCAUUUCCCUUAACUCUAAAGCCAUUGGUAGUUUUAUUUACAGUCUUAUAAGCAAAUGGUAAUUUUUUUUCCUCCAUUCCAUAUGUGCAGAUCUGCUGUUGAGUUAGAGGGAAAAUUUGUUCUCAGGAAAACCUCACGCAGCUUCAAUUGGAACAAGCUUUGGAACAGCAGUUGUGCAGAGAUUACUGUUUUCUAGCCCUCUUAGCUUUGGAACAGCUUUUUAGGGGCUGUAUCUCCUACUGGACCAACAGAGACUUUUAUUUGAGACUACACUUCAAACUUAAUGACUCUUAACAUUUUUCUUUGGGAAGUGUGUUUUUUUUUUUUUUUUUUUUUCAAAAGAAGAUAAGACCUCUGCACUAUUAGUAAAUCAUUUUUAUACAGCAUGCACAUUUUAAUAGACUGUAUUAUUGUUCACUUGUCAUACUUUGUGUUUUCAGCUCGUAUUUUAAUUUUAAAUAUAUUUUAUUUGUGCCUUAGACACAGAAAAUUCUAUGUAGUUUUGGGUUGAGAAUCAAAUAUCAAUACAGAUAACUUCUCAGUUUUUGAAAUGUGACCCAGAGAUUCCUGUCUAUAAUGUGUAAAAGCAGGAUGCUGCUGGCAAGUACGUGAGUUAAGCAGAUACAGUUAAGAAGGGUCCUAGUUGCAAGUUCUUACUCAGCCUACAAUUUUGGUCACAUUUGGGCUCACCUCAGCUUCCUGUUGCAGUUCACUGAGAAAGAUUGGGGAGACUUGUGUGUGUGUUGGAGGAGAGGUGAAUGUGCACCGGAAGGGAAGAAAGCCAAACCAAACCCCAAAAAGUCAAACCCACCAACAAACAACCCCAAAACCUUGAACAAAGAAGUCCCAGUUAGGACACUUUUCUGCAUGUUACUCUUGAAAUUUAACUGCUGCUGAAUAUUCUUAUUAAUACAGUAAUCUCAAAAUUGUUUUUGUACAGUAUUGUUCUGCUGAAAAUUUGGAGGGCAAAGGAAUACCUUAUCUUCAUUUGAGGGAGAAAAAUAAAGUUGUAUGUUAUUACA
rnacentral:lncRNA from 1 species